GAUUAACGCGAAGAACCUUACCAGGGUUUGACAUCGGAGGCACCGGCGUGAAAGCGUCGUUCCCGCAAGGGACCUCUGGACAGGUGUUGCAUGGCUGUCGUCAGCUCGUGUCGUGAGAUGUUGGGUUAAGUCCCGCAACGAGCGCAACCCUCACCCCAUGUUGCCAGCGGAUCAUGCCGGGAACUCUUGGGGAACUGCCUGGGUAACCGGGAGGAAGGUGGGGAUGACGUCAAGUCAGCAUGGCCCUUACGCCCUGGGCUACAAACAUGCUACAAUGGGCGGCAGACAAAGGGAUCCGAGACCGCAAGGUGGAGGCAAUCUCAAAAAUCCGCCCCCAGUUCAGAUCGCAGGCUGCAACUCGCCUGCGUGAAGUCGGAAUCGCUAGUAACCGCAGAUCAGCUAAGCUGCGGUGAAUACGUUCCCGGGCCUUGUACACACCGAAUCACUAGU
rnacentral:rRNA from 1 species